rnacentral:rRNA from 1 species
CUUCGCCGCGCUCGCACUUCCCGGCCGGGCUCUUUCGCCUGGGGAAACCACCUCGCCCUUAACUGAGCGUGUGGCUACGCAGGUCGUUACCCUGAAUAAAUUAGAGUGUUCAAAGCAGGCCUUUGCUCGGAUACCUUAGCAUGGAAUAACGAAACAGGACGUUGCGGCCCUAUUUCGCUGGUUUUCAUGGCCGCCGUAAUGAUUAAAAGGGACGGUCGGGGGCGUUAGUAUUUGGCAGUAAGAGGUGAAAUUCUUAGACCUGCCGAAGACUCGCUGCUGCGAAAGCGUUCGCCAAGGACGUUUUCAUUAAUCAGUGAACGAAAGUUGGGGGAUCGAAGACGAUCAGAUACCGUCGUAGUCCCAACCGUAAAUCAUGCCGACUAGGGGUCGGGCGGGUGGUUCAAUUUUGGCCCGCUCGGAACCUUGUGGGAAACCAAAGUUUUUGGGUUCAGGGGGGAGUAUGGUCGCAAGGCUGAAACUUAAAGAAAUUGACGGAAUGACACCACAAGGCGUGGAGCCUGCGGCUUAAUUUGACUCAACACGGGGAACCUUACCAGGGCAAGACACGGACAGGAGCGACUGAUUAAAAUAUUCAAUCCGGAUCCCGUGGAUGGUGGUGCAUGGCCGUUUCCAGUUCGUGGCUCGAGCUGUCUGCUUUAUUGCGAUAACGAACGAGACCUUCACCUGCUAAAUAGCGCUCCCAGACAUCGCGUGUCGGCUGCGGCCGCUUCUUAGAGGGACUACCGGUGUCCAGCCGGGGGAAGAUGGAGGCAAAAACAGGU